UGUUUUUCUCCUCCCCUACGGUUUCUGUGGGGAAAAAAAAGCAGCAAGCUCAAGCGGCCAACAAGUCUUUACAGCAUCCCCAUUCCCCAACACCUCCGAUCUAGUAUCCCUCAAAGCUUCCAUGGAGAAGGCGCCAGGCACGAGCAUCGAGGCUAUCAUCCGACGGCUUAGGCUCCACCAGGCGCCUCCCUCCCCUUACUCCGGCGAUCCCUCAACAGCGGCGACCCCCGCCGCAGCCAACCUGUUUCAGCCGCGGAGAGCCGCCGUACUGGUCUGCCUCUUCCACGACGCUGCCGGCGAGCUGCGUGUCCUCCUUACCAAGCGCGCUUCCUCCCUCUCCACCCACUCCGGGGAGGUUGCAUUGCCCGGAGGAAAGGCAGAGGAGGGUGAUGCUGAUGAUGCAGCAACGGCAUUAAGGGAGGCAAAGGAGGAGAUUGGGCUUGAUCCAGCCUUGGUCACUGUCGUCUCCUCGCUUGAGCACUUCUUGUCCAAGCAUCUUCUGGUAGUUGUUCCUGUUGUUGGCAUACUCUCAGAUAUACAGGCUUUCAAACCUGUCCUUAAUGUUGAUGAGGUGGACGACAUUUUUGAUGUACCCCUAGAGAUGUUCCUCAAGGAUGAGCGCAGGAGAUCCGAGGAGCGAGAAUGGAUGGGGCAGGCGUUCACACUUCACCACUUCGAUUAUGAGAAAGGCGACAAGACGUAUGUAAUCUGGGGGCUGACUGCUGGCAUCCUGAUUCACGCGGCUUCAGUUGUAUACCAGCGGCCACCAGACUUUGCUGAGCGAAGGGUACAAUUCAACCUGCCGAAGUACUCACAGGAGUCUUCUCCAAUGCCAUGAUCAGGAUUAGGAUGCGCACUCAGUUACAUGCCUGAUUCAGCACACAGAAGACUACAUACACCAAAAGAAAUGGUAUAGAAUCUAAAAGGUUUCCAAAUCAUGUGUUGUUAUACAAUUCAUUCAUUCUUCUAUGCGCCACGACCCUGCGAUUGAUGUGAAGUGCGAUACCCUGGUGGUUCAGCUGCGACGAUGAUCAUGCAGGCCGGGCCGCAUCAAGCAAUGGAUUACGAUGCAUUCGAUGGUGUGCAGCUUGCCACACACAGCGACUAAAAAUCAAACGUUCGACAAACAUAUUUGUAUUCUAUUCUUUGCAUAAUAAUACAUUGCAAGAACAUUAACAUUCAGAAAAUUAUUUGGUGCUAAUUUGAGUACACUCC
rnacentral:rRNA from 1 species